GCGCCAUUGUGAAGGAAAACACGCCGCGUCCGGCCUAUGUUACCUAUGUACUGGCUGCGCGGCAUACGACCUUUCGGCAUUUUGUCUGGCGCUUGAAUUGAGAAUUCAAGCGCUUUCACGGCGACUGCGAACAUGCGAACGCACUGCUGUGUCCCUGUGUGCAAGCAAUAUGGAUACGUUGACAAGUCGGGACGAAAGGUGUCAUACCACAGGUUUCCCAGCGACGAGGGAAUGAA
rnacentral:lncRNA from 1 species